rnacentral:lncRNA from 1 species
UGGUGGUAUGACAUAUCAAGUGUUCACAAAACUGUAUAAAAGUUUGGUACAACCAAUAUUGUUAUAUGGUGCAUCGAUAUGGGGACUUACUGAACAUAGACUCAUUAAUAACGUUCAAAACAGGGCUAGUAAAAUAUUCCUUGGAGUGACUAAAUUGACUAGCAAUACUGCAGUACAGGGUGAUUUAGGAUGGCUGUCAUGUCAUGCUAAACAAAGACUGGAAGUUUUGAGAUUCUUUUAUAAACUUGAAAAUUCAGAUAAUUCUCGUACUUUCUAUAAGAUACAUUUAUGGUCGAAACGAAAACGUAGAUCCUGGAACUUUAAUGUGAUUAAGUUAUUUCGCAAUAUGUCUGUAGAACACUUAAUGCAGCCCGGAAUUAGCAAAGAACUAUUUUUUAAAGUAAUUAAAAGUAAAUUACGAAUACUAGAUGAACAGUUGUGGUUUACCAAACUUUGGAAUGACAAUUCGAAUGUGAAUGGAAACAAGUUGAGACUAUAUAGACGUUAUAAGAAGGACCUUCAACCUGAACACUAUGUUACUAACGCAAUGCCACGCCACUUACGAAGUAAUCUAUGUAAACUUAGAUGUGGAACUUUACCUCUGUCCGUCGAGACGGGUCGUUAUACGAAACCACCAAUACCGUUAGAAGAAAAAAUUUGUCCAUUUUGUAACGAUGCUGUAGAAGAUGAGAUACACUUUUUGAUUAAUUGUGACAUUUACAGUGACUUAAGGUUUAAUUUGUUUCACAGAGCUAUGGUCAUGGAUAAUUCUUUUUGUACAAAGUCAGAUUUUAAUCAAUUUGUAUUUUUAAUUCAGAAUGCUGAAUUACAAUACGAGUUAUCUAUCUUGGUGCAUAAUAUGAUAAGAAGACGUCGUGCACUGAAAAGCAAUCUACACUCUUAAUUGUAUAUUUCCGUAAAAGUCAAAGUUAAUAUAUUUAAUUUAUUUAUUU